rnacentral:rRNA from 1 species
UGGGCAACCUGCCCCUCUCUCUGGGAUAACCCCGGGAAACCGGAGCUAAUACCGGAUACUCCGGCUGGAUCGCAUGGUCCGGCCGGGAAAGGUCCGCCGGAGAGGGAUGGGCCCGCGGCCUAUCAGCUAGUUGGUGGGGUAACGGCCUACCAAGGCGGCGACGGGUAGCUGGUCUGAGAGGAUGGCCAGCCACAUUGGGACUGGGACGCGGCCCAGACUCCUACGGGAGGCA